UACGUAGGGGGCAAGCGUUGUCCGGAUUUAUUGGGCGUAAAGAGCGUGUAGGCGGCCAAGCAGGUCCGCUGUGAAAACUCGAGGCUCAACCUCGAGACGUCGAUGGAAACCGUUUGGCUAGAGUCCGGAAGAGGAGAGUGGAAUUCCCGGUGUAGCGGUGAAAUGCGCAGAUAUCAGGAGGAACACCAGCGGCGAAGGCGGCGCUCUGGGCCGGAACUGACGCUGAGGAGCGAAAGCGUGGGGAGCAAACAGG
rnacentral:rRNA from 1 species